GAAACGAUUUUCUACACGAUUAUGGACGAUUAUAGUGCUUCACUGAGGAAACAAAAAUGAAGACAGAAAUAAAUGCGACGAACAUUGAAGUAAUCCAAUGCUCAACUUUUGAGGUAAUGAUGGAUCAAAUCAUCCGAUGUGGGAGAUAUUUGAGAUUAUACUCAGAUGAAUUUGAUAAAGAUCAUCUAAAGAAAUCGGAAGAAGAUAAGCCAAUUUAUUUAAGAUAUUUAUUGUGGUCAAGCAUUUCAAUUGUAUUUCUUAUACUUAUCUGCAUUUUCAACAAAAAAAUUUGUAAUAAAAUUACACUAUAAUAAAUCG